rnacentral:lncRNA from 1 species
CUAAAAGCAAUAUUUUGGGGUGGUGUGUGAGCCCCAAUACUUCCCAUUGACCAGAGCUUACACAAAGGUGCAUUAACUUCCCUGAACUUACACAUUUUGCCUGUUUGAGCACCAAGGAAGUCUUUGUGGCAUAACCUUACAUCUGGUUAAGUCAUUCUUUGCUCUAGGCAAAAUGAGAAUAUUUUUCUCUAGCAAAAUCAAAGAGAAUCCUUCUACUAAGGUUUCAGCAGAAUCUCAGUAUUUAAGACCCCCAGGUAUCCCCAUCCUGGGAGUCAGGACUUCAAUCUCUCCACAUCAGGGCUCUGAUUUUGACUUUGGAAAAUUGUGGUAUUAUGCAGCCAGUCUUUGCAGUCUGGCCACCACGCUGACAGACCCUGGGCAUGAAGUUUAUAUAGUCGACUUUGCCCUGGGCAGCUGCAGGAGUUGACUUUCUUUCAAAGCAGUCAUGAAAAGCCCCUUGGAUGAGUUGGAAGUUGGCUGCCCAGAAUGCAUCGUUCUCUUUUAUCUAGGAUUCCAAGUGUAGUUACUAUAAGCCAACUCACUGCACAAUCCUAGUUAUUUUCAUUGCUCCCGAUGCUGUUCAGGUGCCAGGGCUACCGUAUAUGCUAAUGAUUCACCCUGUGCCCAUUUCUCAUCAAGAUUAAACACAGAAAAAAGCCUUUGUCAUUGAAAUGACACUGAAUGCCAGCAGCAAUCACUGUGGAACUAAGGAACCAAGACCAGGUUUUGAGUUGUAUGUAACCUUGACACAGUUAAAUAAUCUAGCUAAAAAUCUCAAUGUGAUGUUUGCAUUCUGGGGCGAAUCCUAACACGUCUCUUAGCAUUGAGUUCUCAGAAAAAAUCUAAUGCAAGGGCUUAUGUGCUAUUCCUUCACAAGGUAAUGUAAUGUCAGAGAUUAAGGUCAAUAAGAAGGAUAACGUGAAGGAAAUAAAUGGAGAAUGAACGAAGUUAGGUUCAAGCUGGCUGCUGCUAAGUGCAACUGUGUGCUUGUCUGACGCAACAUCCUCCAAAGAGGAAUAAAAGGCAUCACUGAGGAGUCUGUCUGGAGAAAGAAAGAGUGGAUUUUAUUUUCUGACUCCCAUAGUUCAUUAGUGAACGGCUUGCCACAUGGGAGGUUAAAUAACCCACAUUUAUGAAUAUCACACCCACAGUGCCGAGCAGGGACCAUCAUGUCCUGUGCUUGGGCACCAAUAGGGAGCCCUGGGGCAUCCAACAGAAUGGAGCCCAGACACAGAUGGGGCGUCCUCAGGUUACACCUGAGUAGGUUUAAUGAAGGUUCACACAAUAGGUGCCUGCAGUAGUGGCUGGAACAUGAGGCAUACAAGGCUGAGAGGACAUGAAAUGGCACAUACUAAGUGUCUGAGAUGUCUACUUGUUUUUAAACUCCUUUUAUUGCAUCUUUUUCUUGUUUUAUUCUCCAGGCAAGCCCUUCACUGUUAUGUUUAAUGGCUAUAGUAACAGCAUGUGCUUUUUUCAAAAUUAUUAUAGUACCCACAAUCAGAUUGUAUCAAGUUUUGUAAGUGAGGUUUGCUGUAAGGUUUCUGUAAGUGCUUUUUUCUCACCUAAGGCAGUUUCUAUCUUUGUUUUCUUUUCUGAAACUGUAUAUUAAAUUUUAUUUUUAAAAUGUCUGCAUCUACUCCCAUCAUUAUGUGAUUUUUUAAAUAUGUAGUCAAUAGAAGGGAUGAAUUAAGUUGUUGGAUUUACCUGAAGUUUUAAAAUUCUUGAAUUUCUGAUAUAUACUUAUGUUGAUUGUAAUAGUUUAUUAUUUGUUAAUGCACCAAUGGGUUUGGUGUAAAAAUAUGCGUGGGAUUUUCAGGGCUAUGCUAUGAGUUCUUUUGUUCCUUAUCUACCUCCGUAAUCAAAUCUAUAUUAAACUUACAAAAUCAGUUGGUGACUUUCAUUUUUGUCAUUAUGAGCAAAUAAACUUUGUGAAGCAGAGGGUUUUCUAUUCACUGAGGUGUUUUGGAGAUUUCUUGUGCAACGCCUUAUGGGAGUGGGGAAUCUGAUGAAGCAGGGGCUAUGCUUUGAUUCUCAUUUAAUGUCUUCAUCUGCAGUUCGUCCUUUAAAGGAUCCCAUGCAGGAUGCCACCUCACGUUUAGUGGCAAGGCAUUUCCAGGCUUCCUUUGGCCUUCAAAGUUUCUCAGACAUUCCUUGAUUUUACUGACCUUUGCAGUUGGAAGAACAGUGGCCAGGUGUUUUGUGGAAUGUGCCUCUCUUGAGAUUAUUUGCUUUUCUCAUAGCUAUGCUAGGACUGAGAGUCUCUGGCAGGAAGACUACAAGGAUAAAUUGCAAUUCCCGUCAUAUCAUAUCAAGGGUACAUGCCAUCAUUUUUAUAUAGCCUUAAAUUUUUGAUGUUUUCUUUGACCACUUGUCUGAGUUAGUGC